GGUGGGCGGCGGCGCGUCAGCUGGUGGCGUCCUCCUGGAGAUUCCUACAAGAAGCCGAUGGCCGGGAUCUCCGGCGCCGGCCCUCCGAUGCUUAAGUCAGAGGGGGCUCGUAUAUGAGUGGAGUAAAAAAGGAGAAUGUUUGUUCGUUUCUCCCUUCUCCUUUUCCCCCGGUUCCCUUUUAUAGAAGGAUAUUAUGUUACCUGGGAGGUGACAGGGGAAAUUGUCUUCUUCGUGAUAAUUAGGCACGAUCAUGCUCAUUAAUGGCGUUGUGGAGAACGAGACCGGAUCAGACCGGAGCCAGCGAAUUGUCAUGGUUGAUCGGACCU
rnacentral:lncRNA from 1 species